rnacentral:tRNA from 1 species
UGGGGUGUAGUUCAGUGGUAGAGCUGCCAGCCUAGUAUGUGCAAGGCCCUGGGUUCCAUCCCCAGCACCCAAA